GGGAGGUGGAGGGGUGCUUUGAGAACACACCCGCGUUCCUGCCGCCCGUUCGGCAAGUUCAGGCCUGUGAAGACGUCCCCCAGAACUCACAGCGUCGUGCCCCUUCCUUCAUAGAGUGUCCACGGUGCCCGGCGAGCAGGGGCACAAGCCCCCAGAGGCCCCUUGCCUCCGGAGAAAGCCUCCCGCAUUCGCCAGGCAGCCCGCGCGCAGGGGUCCCUCGCCCACGUUUCACGGAAGCCAUCUGCCCAGUGAAUAUAUGUGAGCGCCCUUCAUGCGGCUCUCUGGACAUUUGCGUGGGAUCGACUUGAACGUCAGUAGCUGCGCAGAGAAGGAGCGGGUUUCGCUGUAUUUUUAGCGGGGAACGCAGGUUUUAGCACAUCGGCUGAGCCUCCUGAUUCCGUCCUGCUCCGCAUGCAUGACGACUUGCCAGAAAAGAACAAUCAGUAUUGAUCUUCACGUAUAGGUGCAGUGUGUGCAUCUCUGUGCCGGCGCUGCGGAAGUGAUGUACGCGGGCCUCUCACUGUUGUGGCCUCUCCCGUUGCGGAGCACGGGCUCCGGACGCGCAGGCUCAGCGGCCAUGGCUCACGGGCCCAGCCGCUCCGCGGCACGUGGGAUCCUCCCGGACCGGGGCACGGACCCGUGUCCGCUGCAUCGGCAGGCGGACUCUCAACCACUGCGCCACCAGGGAAGAAGCCCUACAUUUGGCUUUUUAAGUUGCCUUUUAAUUCUGCAUCCUUGCUAAGCUGACUUAUGCUAGCAGCUAUUUUUGUAGAUUCCUCAACAUUUUCUGUAUAGACAAUCAUAUCACAGUGGGAAAUCAUUUGAUUUUUCAUCCUCAAGUAUGAUGCUUUUCUGGCUGGAGAAAAUUUUCAUCAGGUUGAAAUCUACUUCGAGUUUUCUGAGAGUUUGUUCAAUCAUGAACAGGUGAUGAGUUUUGUCAAUUUGUUGUUGCUGUUGUAUUUGUUGAGAUUAUUACAUGGCUUUCCUUUUUCAGUCUGUUAGUACGGUGAAUUACAUUUAUGGCAUUCCUAAUCUAAAUCCCACUUGGUCAUUCUCAAGCAAGCAGCAUCUAUUGCCUAUUAUCAGGAAGAGACGUACAGACACUUCUGCCCACUACAUCUUGCUUUAGGAGUCACCAAGGAAACACGAUACAGUCAAGCACUCACGGAACAAGCUUUACGCAGAGAAGGGACAGAGCCAAAUAGCAGCUUCCCAAGUGAGUGCUGGUCUCCCGAGGCCGGGGGGGGG